UACAGAGGGUGCAAGCGUUAAUCGGAAUUACUGGGCGUAAAGCGUGCGUAGGCGGCGUGUUAAGUCAGCUGUGAAAUCUCCAAGCUUAACUUGGAACGGUCAGCUGAUACUGAUGUGCUAGAGUGCAGAAGGGGCAAUCGGAAUUCUUGGUGUAGCGGUGAAAUGCGCAGAUAUCAGGAGGAACACCAAUUGCGAAGGCAGCUCGCUGGGACGUUACUGACGCUGAGACGCGAAAGCGUGGGGAGCAAACAGG
rnacentral:rRNA from 1 species